UUGCCAUUAGUGUAACUAAUUAAAGGUAACUCUGCCCGGCGAAAUUACUCAAACGGCCGCAGUAUCCCUGACUGUGCUAAGGUAGCGCAAUCAAUUGCCUCUUAAUUAGAGGAUAGUAUGAAAGAACCAACAUGAAAUAAACUGUCUCUUUACUGCCUAUUAAAAUUAAUUUCUAGGUGAAAAAUCCUAGAUCACACACAAAGACAGAAAGACCCUAUGAGCUUUCAUUCAAAGCAAAACAAUUAUUCACCUUAUAUUUUGUUGGGGCGACAUAAAGCAUUCUACGCUUUUCAAAUAAAGAGCUCUCAACUCAAAACCUUACUUAUCCAAUAGCAUACAAGUAAGCUACCUUAGGGAUAACAGGCCAAUACCUUUUGAGAGCACAUAUCGACAAAGGUGAUUAGCACCUCGAUGUUGGCUUAGGGGACCUUAUUCACGCAGAAGUAAACUAAGGUGGUUUGUUCAACCUCUAACACCCU
rnacentral:rRNA from 1 species